GCGGUGGGGGUAGGGUUUUUGGAAUAUGAAAUAUAUGAUUCUAAUAAAUAUAUAAAUAAAUACUUUAAAAAAUAUAAUGAUUUUUUAAAAUAGUUUCAAACAUAAUUUUCAAUUUGAAAAAGGAAAAUUUGAAAAAAAAAUUUAAAAAAAAUUGAAAAAAAAUUAUAAAAAAGUUUGAAUUUGAAAAAGUAUAAUACGAAAACAUAAAUUUUAUUUAUUUUUAUUUAUUUUUAUUUAUUUAUUAUUUAUUUUUUAUUUAUUUAAAUAAUGAUUUAUUAUAU
rnacentral:lncRNA from 1 species